UGUAACAGUUGUACCAUCUGGUAAAGGAUGUUGGUUCUGCUUUAUUAUGAUGUUCUCGCAAGAACUCUGCAAGGAGUCAGUAAACUAUAGCCUAUGAGCCAAAUAAACUCUCCAGCUGUUUUUGG